GGCCCUUCGCAGCAGGGUGGCAGACUUUACAGCCCUGUGUAGAGACUGGGCUUCCCUUUCUGUGCCUGGAUGUGCCCUGCCAGCCUCAGGCAAGCUUCAGUGCUCAGGGGACAACACUGCUGCUCCUUGUCCAGCUGUCUUCUGCCUCUGCAUUCGCACCUAGUGCCAGGCUCCCACAGGCAGCACAAUCUGCUGAAAUACCUUGGUAGCAAGCUCUGGGCUAACCACUCUGCAAUAAAUUAAUGUGGUCCAAUGACCAUAAAGAGUAAUCCUAGCACGUAGCAUCUCUCUGCAUACCAGCGCUGCACCAUGGGUGCCCUCUCACCCCCUGGGGUCAGGACAGAUGGCGAGCUCCUUCCAGUUGCACUUGCAACAUCCUACUUUCUCUUGAUGCUUCAGGGAAUCUGCGACAUCUUCAGAAGUGCCCUUGAAAAGGUUCAAGAAAAAAAUUGUUGACCUGAGAUGGGGAAGCAUUGGAACAAGAGUGCACUUACUUCCAGGCUGAUCCAGCUGUUGACUGAGAAACCAAAGCUCUUGCAAUGCGUGGACUCUGACCUGCCUCGCUGCCCGGACCGCCAGCAGUUCUGAGAAAUGUUGUUGUGACAGAGUGACAGCUGUCUUGCAAAGCAGAUCUUAGCCUUGCCAGGUCCAGUCUGAGUUUAUGCACACAGCUUCCUGACCUCCUACGCUCCUUGUGAAAUUUAACUAGAGAUGAUAGUCUUCACUUCCUUUUAAACGGGGGUGAGAUCUCUGCGUGCUAUGAUGCAGCUGACGUUCUCCACACUAGCGAUGACUACACUUCAGGGCUGGGGUGAAGUGAGCCAUAUCCAUGUCACCUUUCUACUUCACAGAAAUAAUU